AGUGAACGCUGGCGGUAGGCCUAACACAUGCAAGUCGAACGGCAGCACAGUAAGAGCUUGCUCUUACGGGUGGCGAGUGGCGGACGGGUGAGGAAUACAUCGGAAUCUACUUUUUCGUGGGGGAUAACGUAGGGAAACUUACGCUAAUACCGCAUACGACCUACGGGUGAAAGCAGGGGAUCUUCGGACCUUGCGCGAUUGAAUGAGCCGAUGUCGGAUUAGCUAGUUGGCGGGGUAAAGGCCCACCAAGGCGACGAUCCGUAGCUGGUCUGAGAGGAUGAUCAGCCACACUGGAACUGAGACACGGUCCAGACUCCUACGGGAGGCAGCAGUGGGGAAUAUUGGACAAUGGGCGAAAGCCUGAUCCAGCAAUACCGCGUGGGUGAAGAAGGCCUGCGGGUUGUAAAGCCAUUUUGUUGGGAAAGAAAAGCAGCAGGUUAAUACACCGAUGUUCUGACGGUACCCAAAGAAUAAGCACCGGCUAACUUCGUG
rnacentral:rRNA from 1 species